GACCCCUCACACCAACCCUCACAGCCGCCCCUCAUACUGACCCUCACAGCAACCCUCACACUGACCCUCACACAGACCCCUCACACUGACCCUCACACUGACCCCUCACACUGACCCCUCACACUGACCCUCACACUGACCCUCACACAGACCCCUCACACUGACCCUCACACAGACCCCUCACACUGACCCUCACACAGACCCCUCACACUGACCCUCACACUGACCCCCACAGCGACCCCUCACACUGACCCUCACAGCCGCCCCUCACACUGACCCCUCACGCCUGCCCGAGGAGCAGCAGUGCCAGGGACUGUGUGUGGCUUCAGGCAGCCACAUUCCCUCAGGGCUGGUGUCACCCUGGGCAAGGGACACCCAACUGGAACAUCCCCAUCCCACUGUUCCCAGCUCCACCCCUGCAGUGUCAUCCUGAACUCUGCUGAGUUUGGCACAACGGCAGUGUUGGCACCAGGCACUCAGGAGCAUGAGGUGGCACCGACAUGGUCCUCCCUGAGCCCUGGGGAACGUCAGUCAAGGACACUCUCUGGAUCACGCUCCGGAUCAGGCUGCGGAGUCUCCCUGAUGAGUAACAGCCCUGCUCCUCCAAGAAGAGUGUUGGCGCACUGCAGUCUCAAAUUGAUUUACAGCACACUGUGUUUAUUUGCAGCAUUAGUAAUGUACCAUCCAAGGCAUGAUGAGGCCUCCACAGCUUGCCAGGACCUUGAGAAAAGUGCCUGAGUGGCACAUUUGUUGGGAGAAGGGGUGGAUGGAGAGGUUUUCCUGCCACUGCGGUGCUGGAGCAACCACACUGGAACUUCACUGUGUGCUAUCGAGUGGUUGGGGCUGCCCCGAGCCCUGGAGUCUGGUCUCAGCCACAGAGACAGGACGUGCAGUGGCAGUCUGAAGUGCCAGGCAGCUUUCCCCUCACAACAGGAGCUGAGAUGCCCAGAGGAUCACCGGGAAGGGGCAGGAAGUUGGGUGACCACCACCCCAGCACCCUGUGGAAUGGCACUGCAGGACAGAAAGCAGCUGCCAGCUCAGCACCUCACAUCAUUUGUGUGCAUCGGCAUCACAAUCUGGGGCAAUCCAGUGCAGAUUCCUCUGUGGACUGAUCCACAACCCACAUGCCUGACUGCACGUGCAUUUUCCUUGUCAGAAUAAGCAUGGAGGGGAAGAAACGGCAUCAUCUCAGGCAACCUCCCCUCCACAGCAGUGCUCUAAGUGGCAGGGUAGAAUCAACAGGCUGACUGUGUGCGUUAGUCCUCUGGAAAGAAGGGAGCUGAGCUCGGGUUUUAGCUAACUGAAGAAGAAUGGAAGCAUCAGCUCCAGAAGAAGAGUCUGUCCCCCAGGCACUGUUAUGCUCAGGAAUAACAUGACACAGGUCCCUGACACAGGCAGUGAGGUGAGCUCGGGUUCGUCUGGUGCAAUGGCAGUGUCCUCUUUUGCAAUGGGCUCUGAGAUCUGCUGAAGGAAGAGGGACUAGAAAAUCCAGGUGUUUCUGGCCCAAGGCACCGAAAGGCAGCUUUUUGGAACCGUUUCUCCCAGCACAGAUCUCCUCAGUGCCUUCAGGGACACAACUCUUAUUCCCCCGCAGUCUCACUGGCAGAUGAGAGCCCAGUUUGUAUACAGCAGAGUUGUGAGGGCUGAUGGUUGCUCUUGGAAUCAGGGGCAUGGCAGGAUCUGCACAGAUGUGUGGAAGCCCGGGAUCGUAUCCAUGGGUUGGUUUGUCAAGCAAACAAUGCCUGUGACGCGGCUGUAAUCCCGCUCCAGAAAACGUUUCUGCAACAGUGCCCGAGGCUUGCUCCAAGGCUGCUCCUGUCUUCCUACUCCUUGUGGUUCCCCACUCCUAAUCCUUUCUUAAUACGUGGUGCUACAUAUUUUGCAACAUUUCCAUUGUUGGAGGAUGACUGUAACACCCAAAUCCACUGCCUCCGCUUGCCAGAUAUCAGGGAUGGAAAGCAAGGCUGUCAGGGAACACUGCUUGAACUUACUCAGCACUCCUGUUCCCUCCCACAAAGCCUAUUUUUCCCAAGUAUAAAAAUUAUGGAGCUGUGAUGUGCCCUGAUUUCCCAGACUCCCAGCCUAUACCCCACAUAUUUCCCACUGCUGAGAAGGACUGAUCUCAAGUAUUUUUUUCAUGAUUUUGUUAAUCAUUCUGUUUUCUGAUGGUCCUUAUAUAAAGGUCACAUACUGUGCCCCUGAAUGCAGAGGGAUGAUAAGUGAAUUUUAUUCUUGGGAAGGAAUAAGAAUAGCAAAAGAAGCACCAAAACAGUGAAUAUUGUGUAAUUUUAAAAUAAAUUGCUUAGAGGGCAUUAAACAUACAAAUGAAAAAUAGGCAUUAAUUAAUUAACAAACAGAUUCUGGGAUAAAUACAGUGGAAGAGAAGCCUUCAGGAAGGUGAGGCUCCAGCACAAGUGUUGGAUGUGAAUGCCACCUGCUGGGUACCCACCCACGAGAGCUGGCAGGGAGCAAAGUCACCUGGGAGUGCUGGAAACUGGACGAGAUCCCUGUGAACACCUUGGCACAAACUCAGAGACAGUAAACCCUGGAGAAGGCUAAAGCCACGCUCAUGGGCAGGUCUGCUCAAACCUCUGGGCUCAGAGGAGGAGGAGGAGGCGUCUCUGAGAUGGUAAUUCCACUGGUGUUUUUCAUCUGUGCUGUAGGAAGUGCCCUGUGGAGUCUGUGCUCCUGAUGCAAUAAGGAAGCUUAUCCUGGGCUUCUACUGAUAUAUAUAUAUAUAUAUUGCUGUACUCAUGUACUUUUUCCAGAAGUGUGAGUAAAUUAGUCUUGGAGAACUUCAGUCAUCAUUUCAGACAACUGCUCCUGGAUAGUUUAAACUCUCCCUUUCUGAAGUGAGUGCAAGGAAUGGAACCACAUUCCAGGAGGGCAAGUCCAACCUUGAAUCAGGAGCAUCAAGGCACUUGCCAAUGUUUCCUGUGCUGAGAAGAAAGCACUGCAGUAGGCACAGCUUCUCUUACCUGCAGUCAGCACUGGUGCCCCUCUUUCCCACCUGCUCUGGGUCACAUCCAGCACUGGUGGGUGCUGCAGUCACCAAUCAUGACUAAAGACAGUGCAUUAGUGUGGCUGCUGCUGUCCUAUCCUGACACAUGGUCUCAAAUAAAAGGAAAUGUGAAAGGAGCUUGGCAUUAAAUUAGCAAUAUAGGUCCCCUGCAGGAGAUAAAAGUGACUUGUCUGUGUGGAAUUCCACCUAAAUGUUGGCCCUUGUAGUUUCCCGCCUCGGGAGCCCUGGUUGGCAGCCUGGAGCUCUCACACCCAGCAGCACUCAGGGAAAUCAAUGCUGUUAUUCUUUGCUUUGUGCCAUCCACUCAUGAAACUCCAUUUUCUACCUGACUGACCCAAUUUUCCAGGUGGGCUCCUGCCUCAGCCAGGGGUCAGGGUGUAUCAUUGCUGUGAUUACCUGCCAGGUUCCCAUGACUUUGUUAGUCUUAUGGACAGAAAACACACCUCUGGAACGGGUGGGCUGGGCUUCAAAGGUUUCCUCUGGGAAACAAAAAUUACUAGGUAGGAUGCUAAACUUAGUUCCUGCUUCAUGCUGAUGGCCAGCACAGGACAUUCCCUAGCAGUAUUCCCAGAUCUGCUUCUCUUUAAGACUGUAUUCCACUGUGGCUGCUGAGCAGCCUGGAUGUCAGAUAUUUUUGUCU